AACGAACGCUGGCGGCAGGCUUAACACAUGCAAGUCGAGCGCCCCGCAAGGGGAGCGGCAGACGGGUGAGUAACGCGUGGGAAUCUACCUUUUGCUACGGAAUAACUCAGGGAAACUUGUGCUAAUACCGUAUGUGCCCUUCGGGGGAAAGAUUUAUCGGCAAAGGAUGAGCCCGCGUUGGAUUAGCUAGUUGGUGGGGUAAUGGCCUACCAAGGCGACGAUCCAUAGCUGGUCUGAGAGGAUGAUCAGCCACAUUGGGACUGAGACACGGCCCAAACUCCUGCGGGAGGCAGCAGUGGGGAAUAUUGGACAAUGGGCGCAAGCCUGAUCCAGCCAUGCCGCGUGAGUGAUGAAGGCCCUAGGGUUGUAAAGCUCUUUCACCGGUGAAGAUAAUGACGGUAACCGGAGAAGAAGCCCCGGCUAACUUCGUGCCAGCAGCCGCCGCCG
rnacentral:rRNA from 1 species